UAUGUGAUCGUCUCUCGCAUAUCAAUAAGCGGAGGAAAAGAAACUAACAAGGAUUCCCCUAGUAACGGCGAGUGAAGCGGGAAGAGCUCAAAUUUGAAAUCUUAAAGGGUUUCCCUUUACGAAUUGUAGUUUAAAGAAGUGUUUUCUGUUGAGGUUUUGGUAAAAGUUCUUUGGAAUAGGACAUCAUAGAGGGUGAGAAUCCCGUAUUUGACCUUUACUUUCAACUUUGUGAUACACUUUCAAAGAGUCGGAUUGUUUGGGAAUGCAGUCCAAAAUGGGUGGUAAAUUUCAUCUAAAGCUAAAUAUUGGCGAGAGACCGAUAGCGAACAAGUACCGUGAGGGAAAGACGAAAAGAACUUUGAAAAGAGAGUUAAACAGUACGUGAAAUUGUCAAAAGGGAAGCGUUUGACACCAGUGUUGUUUUUCUGAAAAUCAAUUAAAGAACUGUUUAUGCUAAGUUGUUUAGACUUUAUCAGCUAAUCUGCUUAGUUUUGAGCUUUUCUUAAUGCACUUUUCAGUUAACAAGUCAACAUCAAUUUCUUUUGCUGUAAAAAAGCUUGAGGAAGGUGGCUUGAGAUUCGUCUUAAGUGUUUAUAGCCUCUUGCCUAUGCAGUCGGAGAGAUUGAGGUCUGCAGCGUAGAUCCUUCGGGGCUAAAUGCAUUUGUGCUAAGUUAUAGCAUUUUAUAGACAACUUGUUGACUAUGAUUUGUCUUGUAGCUUACUCGCUUAUGUUAUUUUACCUACGCUUAGGAUGUUGAAGUCAUCGUAUCGCGC
rnacentral:rRNA from 1 species